CCCAUGACCACGGGAUAACCCGUUGAAAGACGGACUAAUACCGUAUGACGUCGUUUGCUGACAUCAAAUAACGAUUAAAGGUAUAGCGGUGAUGGACGGGGAUGCGUCUGAUUAGCUUGUUGGCGGGGUAACGGCCCACCAAGGCUACGAUCAGUAGGGGUUCUGAGAGGAAGGUCCCCCACAUUGGAACUGAGACACGGUCCUAACUCCUACGGGAGGCAGCAGUGAGGAAUAUUGGUCAAUGGGCGAGAGCCUGAACCAGCCAAGUAGCGUGCAGGAUGACGGCCCUAUGGGUUGUAAACUGCUUUUAUGCGGGGAUAAAGUGCGUGACGUGUCACGCAUUGCAGGUACCGCAUGAAUAAGGACCGGCUAAUUCCGUGCCAGCAGCCGCGGUAAUACGGAAGGCCCGGGCGUUAUCCGGAUUUAUUGGGUUUAAAGGGAGCGUAGGCCGCCAGGUAAGCGUGUUGUGAAAUGUACCGGCUCAACCGGUGAAUUGCAGCGCGAACUGUCUGGCUUGAGUGCACGGUAAGCAGGCGGAA
rnacentral:rRNA from 1 species